UUGUGCCUUUAUCUUCUAAGGAUAAUUGCUACAACAAACUUGCCGAAAUUCAUCGAGUAAAAGAGAAUGGGAAGAAGCAAUGACUGCAUCUGGGCACAUCAGUUUCGAAAAGGCCAGCACUGAACUGCAAAGUGGGGAGAAAAGGGAAGGACAAACCCUUCAGGAAAUGUUUCCUUUCUGUUUUUUUUUUUUUAAAUUCAUAUUGUUUAUGGCAGAGAUAUAAAACCCCUUAGGAUCUGGCACAACUACAAUUUACUGGAACAAUAUGGAGCUUCUGAAAGUUUAUGCCAGACUGCCUCUCUUUAAAACCUGAUAUACUGAACUGCAGUAGUUGUUUUAAGCAGGCAAUUUGUGAAGUUUCAGCUAAGAAAAGAUUUCUUUUGGCCUGCUCCGGUAUAGAAAAAUGCUGAAGGCCCAAAACCCUUGGAGAGUUCAUUAUGCGAAAAUGGAAUCACUAGUCCAAACACUGUCAGAGGGUUAGGAGCCGAAUUUAUUCGAGCCUUUUUACAGGCUUAAUACAUUGGAAUGGUUUCUGAUCUGUGUUUGAAGUCUCUAUACACGUUGGAAAGAAAUACAGAAAAGAAGAAAUUCAAGAGAAUUACAUCUAUGGCAAAACUGUUACAUCUCACUUCGGGCCCAAUCUUCUGUAUCACACCAUAGGAGACAUACUAAAUUACUUCAGAUA